CAGGGUGGAUAAGUGAGCGUAAUGAAAAACACACCUGUGCACGUGGACUGACAGCUUCAACAAAACUAAGGCGACGACAUAAACUGAAAGACGUCCACUUUAGGACUCACUAUCAUAAAGUGGCCUGCUUAUGAGACUGUGGCCCCUGGGUACAGACAUACAAAGGCCCCAUCCUCUUGAAGUUAACAGACUUUGGAUGCUUUACUCCUCUUUUGGAUUCAGUCAACACGUCUGCUGGGGUUAAAGACUUGCAGAGUGGAGGCUGACGGGGAAUGGCAUUCAGGACUCAGGACGGAUGACGGCGACAAAGCAGCGACACUUGAAGAACCAAUCAGGCCAGCUGUUGCAUCCCGUCGAGGAGGAGGAAUGAAUUUGAAAAUGUCUUCAGCAGAUGUCCUGAUUUCCAGUGUUUCCUCCAUGCCUCUCACUACAGCUGCUGCAAGCAUGCCAUUGAUGAAAUGAUGUUCACAGUUUACACCUACCCACAAUUCUCAGCGGUGUGUACUGAUAUCAGAGAGCUCAUUUUACACAAAACCUGCAAUACAGCUGCUGCUAUGAUUACUAGAUAUUUCCUUUAUUGACCCUAACCCAUCUACAUGAGUACUUGUAAAUGGAAGCAGGGGAUUCAUUGAUUGAUUAUUGUCAAAUAUGAUAAGCCAACAAUGGUGUGUGUACAUUAUUUAAGGAUGAUUCAAUUGUAUUUUGUUGUCUUACUUUGUUUAAAUGAAUGCA